rnacentral:rRNA from 1 species
ACGUAGGUGGCAAGCGUUGUCCGGAAUUAUUGGGCGUAAAGGGUGCGCAGGCGGUCCCUUAAGUCUGUCUUAAAAGUGCGGGGCUUAACCCCGUGAGGGGACGGAAACUGGGAGACUGGAGUAUCGGAGAGGAAAGCAGAAUUCCUAGUGUAGCGGUGAAAUGCGUAGAUAUUAGGAGGAAUACCAGUGGCGAAAGCGGCUUUCUGGACGACAACUGACGCUGAGGCACGAAAGCCAGGGGAGCGAACGG